GCUACCCAGCAAUGGGAUGCGAAUCUCGAAAGCCUGUCUCAGUUCGGAUUGGAGGCUGAAACCCGCCUCCAUGAAGUUGGAUUCGCUAGUAAUCGCGCAUCAGCCAUGGCGCGGUGAAUACGUUCCCGGGCCUUGUACACACCGCCCGUCAAGCCAUGGGAGCCGGGGGUGCCUGAAGUUCGUGACCGCAAGGAGCGACCUAGGGCAAAACUGGUGACUGGGGCUAAGUCGUAACAAGGUAGC
rnacentral:rRNA from 1 species